UACGUAGGGUGCAAGCGUUGAUCGGAAUUACUGGGCGUAAAGCGUGCGCAGGCGGUUUUGUAAGACUGUCGUGAAAUCCCCGGGCUUAACCUGGGAAUGGCGAUGGUGACUGCAAGGCUAGAGUUUGGCAGAGGGGGGUAGAAUUCCACGUGUAGCAGUGAAAUGCGUAGAUAUGUGGAGGAACACCGAUGGCGAAGGCAGCCCCCUGGGUCAAAACUGACGCUCAUGCACGAAAGCGUGGGGAGCAAACAGG
rnacentral:rRNA from 1 species